rnacentral:rRNA from 1 species
AUUGAACGCUGGCGGCAGGCCUAACACAUGCAAGUCGAGCGGAGCGGCGGACGGGUGAGUAAUGCCUAGGAAUCUGCCUGGUAGUGGGGGAUAACGUCCGGAAACGGGCGCUAAUACCGCAUACUAUCAGAUGAGCCUAGGUCGGAUUAGCUAGUUGGUGGGGUAAAGGCCGACCAAGGCGACGAUCCGUAACUGGUCUGAGAGGAUGAUCAGUCACACGGGAACGGCGACACGGUCACGCCUACUGCGGGAGGCAGCAGUGGGGAAUAUAGGACAAUGGGAGAAAGGCUGAUCCAGCCAUGCGUGGUGUGUGAAGAAGGUCUUCGGAUUGUAAAGCACUUUAAGUUGGGAGGCGUUACCAACAGAAUAAGCACCGGCUAACGUCGCGCCAGCCGCGGUAAUUC